rnacentral:lncRNA from 1 species
CGCUUUUUCUUAAAUGAACUCUGUUGAGAAAAUAGGCAGUUCUCCGAGUACAUUAAUCCACAGAAUAAUAACUAGCAUGACAUUGACUAGACUAAUGACAUACUGAUCUUGAGCUAACCUAGCACAUACUACGCAUAUAGUGGAUACAUGGUAUUCUCCGUUCCUGACCGGCUGGUAUGAGCUCGGCUCAUUCCCGCAACCCGCGGCGGGCGGAGGAGGAGGAGUGCGCGAGGGCACC